GAUGAACGCUCGCUACAGGCUUAACACAUGCAAGUCGAGGGGAAACGACAUCGAAAGCUUGCUUUUGAUGGGCGUCGACCGGCGCACGGGUGAGUAACGCGUAUCCAACCUGCCCAUCACUUGGGAAUAACCUUGCGAAAGUAAGACUAAUACCCAAUGACAUCCCCCGAAGACAUCUGAAUGGGAUUAAAGAUUUAUCGGUGAUGGAUGGGGAUGCGUCUGAUUAGCUUGUUGGCGGGGUAACGGCCCACCAAGGCAACGAUCAGUAGGGGUUCUGAGAGGAAGGUCCCCCACAUUGGAACUGAGACACGGUCCAAACUCCUACGGGAGGCAGCAGUGAGGAAUAUUGGGCAAUGGGCGAGAGCCUGAACCAGCCAAGUAGCGUGCAGGAUGACGGCCCUAUGGGUUGUAAACUGCUUUUAUAAGGGAAUAAAGUGGGUCUCGUGAGACUUUUUGCAUGUACCUUAUGAAUAAGGACCGGCUAAUUCCGUG
rnacentral:rRNA from 1 species